rnacentral:rRNA from 1 species
UACCAGCACCCCGAGUGGUCGGGACGUUUAUUGGGCCUAAAGCAUCCGUAGCCGGUUCUACAAGUCUUCCGUUAAAUCCACCUGCUUAACAGAUGGGCUGCGGAAGAUACUAUAGAGCUAGGAGGCGGGAGAGGCAAGCGGUACUCGAUGGGUAGGGGUAAAAUCCGUUGAUCCAUUGAAGACCACCAGUGGCGAAGGCGGCUUGCCAGAACGCGCUCGACGGUGAGACGCGAAAGCGUGGGGAGCAAACAGG